rnacentral:lncRNA from 1 species
CAAAGCUGGGCUGGGGCCGUACCUCAUGGUGGCGAUGGCGCUCAUGGCCUGCUGCCGCAGCUCUGUGUCCAGGCGGUCGGCGGGCUCCUCCUGCAGCAGCUCCUGAGAGCACAGUGGGAUGGGAUGGGAUGGGAUGGGAUGGUGAGGUGUGCCCUGCUUGGUAGGCAGAGCCCGGGCACCCCAUCCUGGCCCCACAUCCCAACUCCCGGGCUCCCCAGGGACCCCGCAGUGGGAAGGGCUGUGCCCAGCGCCCGGCCCUGCGGUGCUCCCCUUACCUCAAUGCACUGCGCCACCUCUGAUGCGCAGGCACUCAGGUGCUUGUGAGCCUCUCUGUCCUUGAGGGCAGCUGUGCAGGCGGUGCGGACGCAGGCCAGAAAGCUCAGCUUCUGUGCCUGUGCCUGAGACAGGGAGGGGAGUUACAGGUGUCGGCAUCAGGGGACCCCGGCACCCUCUGGGCAUGGCCGGGCAGGGGCAGCCCGGGAAGCACAGAGUGCCCGCUACCUGGGGUCUGCGUGUGCAGCAGGCACGGAUGCAGCUCAGGGGAUCCUCCUCCUGCGGUGACACGACGGAGGCUGAAGGAUCCUCAGCUGAGUCCACGGGCCCCUGCAGGGGCUGCACCCCACACACCUUACGAGGCCCGUGCUGGGCCAUGGAGGUGCGGGAUGCCCUAGGCUUCUCCAGCCAGGCCUCUCGGGGUAGGCUCGGGGAUCUCUGUUCCAUCUCGCAGUGAGGGAACAGCGGCAAAUGCGCCUCCUGUUCCAACUCUGCCUUCAGGGGGACGAGGCCCACUGUGACGUGGCAGGGAUGUCACCGCAUUCUACCCGGCUCCACCCAGGCCCCCUUCCCUUGCCCUGGGCGUGGCCCAGAGCCCCGCAGCCAUCCCUGUCCGUGGGCAGUUUUGGUCUGGGAGGAGCCCUCGACUUCACUGUGUGCAUUUGCCACAGCUGCAGCGUUGGGGUCUGGGAGUCCUUCUCGGGGCCCUUCAGCCCAUCCCCGCAUCCCCCCCAGUAAAAUUAAACUGUGUCACGGUUUCCAGUGGGACGGAGUUGAUUUUUCCUUCUUGGCAUAUGGUGCUCUAUUUUGGCUUUAGGAGAAACACAAACAGGGUUGAUGACACGGCAGCGUUUCUAGCUGUUGCUGAGCAGUGCUGCACUGAGCUGUGGGCAUUUCAGCUUCUCCUUGUGUCCUGCUGGUGAAAGGCUGAGGGGGUACCAGGAGCCGGGAGCGCACAGAACUGGGGCGGCUUGUGGCAACUUAGGCAUGGACUCCGUUGCUAGUGCAGGACAAAGACCUUUAUUGUACAUGGUCACAACCCUUUAUACCCCUGCAACAGCGCCUUGUCCUCGUGCAUAUUUACAUCUUGCACAACUGCUGAGCUUGUUUACUCAUCCCAAGGUCUUUUGGAUAUCAGUGCGCUUUGUUUUCAUGUGGUCCCACAUCUGUGCACACCGUCACAAGGGGCGGGCAGCAACAUCUCCAUUGCAAGCUCUGUUAUGCAAGAUGGAGAGAUGGAAGUAAGAACUCAGGGGAGCAAAGAUCCUUGGUUUUAUUUUAGUAUCGUGAUGCUGGUGUGCCUGUUCAUAUUUCUUGGGAUUUAUACACAGUUGAAAAUGUGAUCGCUGUCUGAUUUGAUUAAAUCUCAUUGCAGUACCAUCUGCAAACAACACUCAACUGGGAGGAGCUGCAGAGAGAUGCUGACAAAUUGGAGGGCUGGGCAACUGCGCAGUUGUUCUUCCUUCCUCAUCCUGGGUCCGGAGGGCAUCAUCGAUGCUGAGGUUAUGGGAGAAGAGUAACUUCGGUGCUUCCAGCCGAGAAGUGCCCUUUGCAAGGAAAGAAGAUGCAGAACGUCUCUGGCCAUCCUCACCUCCUCCGCUGCCCCAGGCUCAUCUCAUGGGAACGCCCCUCCCAGCCAGGAGGACGUGCUGGGAGCUGGGCCAUGCGCACACACGCGGCCGUCCCUCGCUCUGAGCAGAAGGUGCGUCCUCUUCUCCCCGACGAUCUGCCGGCCGGUCCCGUCUGCCCAACAGCCGCUGUUCUUCUGCCGGCGCUAGGGCAGCACCGGGCGCUGUUCCUGCCUCCAGCUGCGGAGGAGGCAAAGUGACGGCCAGGGGCUCAAGCAGCGCAUCUGCAGCACAGACAAAAGAAGUUCCUGUUAUCGCGAGCCACUGUCUGUCUCAUUAUCAGCUACCUCUCCAUCAAGAACGUUGCUUUCCACGACCUAUGUCCCCAUGACAUACCUAGCCAUGCCCUCCCCCUGCCCCUCGCACAGCCCGCACUGGGCUGCCAGCCCAUCAC